rnacentral:rRNA from 1 species
UGGGGAAUUUUGGACAAUGGGCGCAAGCCUGAUCCAGCCAUGCCGCGUGCGGGAAGAAGGCCUUCGGGUUGUAAACCGCUUUUGUCAGGGAAGAAACGCUCUGGGCUAAUACCCUGGGGUAAUGACGGUACCUGAAGAAUAAGCACCGGCUAACUACGUGCCAGCAGCCGCGGUAAUACGUAGGGUGCAAGCGUUAAUCGGAAUUACUGGGCGUAAAGCGUGCGCAGGCGGUUAUGCAAGACAGAUGUGAAAUCCCCGGGCUUAACCUGGGAACUGCAUUUGUGACUGCCAGACUAGAGUGUAGCAGAGGGGGGUAGAAUUCCACGUGUAGCAGUGAAAUGCGUAGAUAUGUGGAGGAAUACCGAUGGCGAAGGCAGCCCCCUGGGCUAACACUGACGCUCAUGCACGAAAGCGUGGGGAGCAAACAGGAUUAGAUACCCACGUAGUCCCUGAGCGGGCUGGCAAGGCGCAU